CCUAGUACGAGAGGACCGGAGUGGACGAACCUCUGGUGUUCCGGUUGUCACGCCAGUGGCAUUGCCGGGUAGCUAUGUUCGGAAAAGAUAACCGCUGAAAGCAUCUAAGCGGGAAACUUGCCUCAAGAUGAGAUCUCACUGGGAACUUGAUUCCCCUGAAGGGCCGUCGAAGACUACGACGUUGAUAGGCUGGGUGUGUAAGCGUUGUGAGGCGUUGAGCUAACCAGUACUAAUUGCCCGUGAGGCUUGACCAUAUAACACCCAAACA
rnacentral:rRNA from 1 species